rfam:Pythium ultimum DAOM BR144 ctg_1117875573594, whole genome shotgun sequence.
AUACCUUCUCGGCCUUAUGGCUAAGAUCAAGUGUAGUAUCUGUUCUAAUCAGUGUGAAAACUGAUUACCGGGUGAUAAGCCCGGUUUUAUUUUCACAUUUAUUUCUGAGCACGGUCGGACUGCGAGCAGCUUGCUGUUCGUUUCUGGCUCGGUUUCCCGGGGAUUGCACCUUCCCCCGGCGAGGCCAACCACA